AUAUUUCAAAUUGGUGUGAUACAACUUGUAAACAGGAUGGGGCCAAGUACCGACCCCUGUGGGAGAUUUCAGCUAAAUUACCCUUAAUUACAAGUUUGCAUAAUCAUGAAUUCAUUAAUUUCUUUCAGGCUCCGGAAGGCAGUAAGCUGAAGAUGACCGUUGUUAAAUUUGGUGUGGAGCCAGAUGCAGAUUGCUUCUGGGAUAUGGUCACUUUAUAUUAUCAAGAAUCCAUACUUCAGUGCCCUGAAACUGAAUGUGGAAACGAUCUCCAACCUGGUAAUGUUCUUACAUCUGAGAGUAACUUCUUCUGCGUGAGACUCUAUUCAGAUGACUAUAUGACUGACAUAGGAUUUGAAUUCGAGUUCGAAGUUGUGUAACCAGUGAGUGAUUAUGUGGACACAUCAUCGCAUUAUACUGCAGAAGCAAGGGAUGUUGGAUAAAACAUUUUAAAGGACUUUGUACAUUAGGUAACUGAAAUAUAUUUUUCAGAAAUUUUGGGACACUAUUACCAAGACCAAAGUUAUCACCAACAAUUAUACAGUAUUGUUUUGUAAUUGACUUUUAUUUCAAGGUGGAAGAGUCAUUCAAGCAAUUUUGGGGGAAAAAAUGAAUAUCUCAUUGGCAAAUUGGCAGCAACAUACUGUAAGCAUUGGUCGGCAACAACUCACUUCUUUUGCAGUAUAAGAACAAACAUGAUAAAGGAAAUGAUUUGACCAUGGAACUUCAAUUAUAGAACAAAAUUACAAUGCCUCUGACACCUGUAUGGUGGGGAGUUUUGACCACACACACCCAGAGAGCAUGUACUUGACAUAAACAUAGAGUUCAGUAUUUCAACUCAUAUCUUAAUCUUUCAUUGAGUGUUUGUGAAAUUGUGAUAUUCUUUGAGUAGCUUGUAAUAAGGGGAAACGUAAAUCAUACUUCUUUUGUCUAGUAUUCACAGAGUCAUACAGUAAUAUGGAUUGAUCAAAUGCGAGUAAUUAAACAUGACAUCAAUAUUAGGACACUAGACUCACUUUCAUUACUCAGUGAAGUAUUUGUCAAAUGAAUAUUAACCAUCAUGACAAUAGUAGUAAUGAUAAUAUCAAUGAUGAAAUUUACAAAUAUUUGAGAACAACAAAAUCAAUAUGUAUACAGUAUACCAAACAGAACCACAAUUGUUGCAUUAUUGACAUUACAUUGCAAGGGUUGCAGACCUUCUGUUUUGGUUAUUUUAAGAAAAACAUUUCUUUAAUAAUGUGAAUUCAAUGCCAGUAAUUUUCGAUCUGCAGAUGAGUGGAAAAAUAAUUAGACUUAAAAGGUGUGCUAUUCAAAAAUUGCAAGAAAAUAUUGUUUAAAAUUAAAAAAUAUGUCUAAAUGUAUUUCACUGGUACCACUCAAAAUAAAAGAGUGUUUUGAUAUUCACAUGGGUGGAUUCACUCAUUCAAGACUGUUAUGGUAGCAGGUAUUUUGUUGACAAAAGGAAAAAAUUUGGUUUGCUAUGAAAUAAAAUGAACCUAUUUUGUAUCCUCAAAAGGGGGCAUUACUUACGGAAAGGUACUUUUUAUGUUAAAUAUUCAGGGUUCGGGACAUACCCUCUGUGCCCCCGUUGAUCCAAUCCUGGUAGCACACAUACAUUCUAUUUAAUUAUUACAUAUUUAUGAUUUAGAUUAAAGGUAUUAUGCCUCAUGGAAUUGCCCCAAUGUUACCAAUGAAAUGAAAAAAAUAGGAUUACAUGUAUGUAAUUUAUGAUAACAAUGAUAGUAAUCACAAUAUUAAGAAUUAAAACAAUAAUAUUGUUCAAAUUUAUAAUCCAUGUUUUAUUCAUGACCUACACUGUUUUGUGUUGUGUCAAUAUACUUUCAUAAAUCUUUGUGUCAUUAUGAAAACUAUUCAGAGUAAGUUUCUUGGAAGAUGGAAAUGUUAAACUGUAAACUACAAAUAAUGGAAUUACAUAUUUGAUUUGUAACUUGGUUCUUGAUGGGUUUCUAUAUUGUAUGUUGUUGUAGAUGUCAUUAUAACAUUGUUUUAAGUAUCUGUAAUUUGAUUACUAUACUUUAAUAAUGGCUGUCCUUGAAAACUGAACUAAUAAAUCGUAGUAAACUGCAAA